AUACGUAGGGGGCGAGCGUUGUCCGGAAUUACUGGGCGUAAAGGGUGCGUAGGCGGCGAUGCAAGUCCAUUGUGAAAAGCCCGGGCUUAACCUGGGAGGUGCAGUGGAAACUGUAUGGCUUGAGUGCAGGAGAGGGAAGUGGAAUUCCUAGUGUAGCGGUGAAAUGCGUAGAUAUUAGGAGGAACACCAGUGGCGAAGGCGACUUUCUGGACUGUAACUGACGCUGAGGCACGAAAGCGUGGGUAGCGAACAGGAUUAGAUACCCUGGUAGUCCACGCCGUAAACGAUGGAUACUAGGUGUAGGGGGUAUCGACCCCCCCUGUGCCGGAGUUAACACAAUAAGUAUCCCGCCUGGGGAGUACGGCCGCAAGGUUGAA
rnacentral:rRNA from 1 species